GACGAACGCUGGCGGCGUGCCUAAUACAUGCAAGUCGAACGCAGUGGGGACGGGUGAGUAACACGUGGGUAACCUCCCAUCAGAGGGGAUAACACUUGGAAACAGGUGCUAAACCGAUACUGAUGGAUGAACCCGCGGUGCAUUAGCUAGUUGGUGAGGUAACGGCUCACCAAGGCCACUAGGCAUAGCCGUCCUGAGAGGUUGACUGGCCACACUGGGACGGAGCCACGGCCCAGACUCCUACGGGAUGCAGCAGUGGGGAAUCUUCGGCAAUGGACGAAAGUCGGACCGAGCAACGCCCCGUGAGUGAAGAAGGUUUUCGGAUCCUAAAACUCUUUUGUUAGAGAAGCGGUAUCUAACCAGAAAGCCACGGCUAACUACGUGCCAGCAGCCGCGGUAAUUC
rnacentral:rRNA from 1 species